AUUGAACGCUGGCGGCGUGCCUAAUACAUGCAAGUCGAACGGAGUGGCGCACGGGUGAGUAAUGUAUAGCUAAUCUGCCCUACACCUGAGGACAACAGUUGGUAACUACUGUUAAUACUCUAUAGUGUAGGUUGAGGCUAUAUGGUCUCAGCUAGUUGGUGAGGUAAGGGCUCACCAAGGCUAUGACGCAUAACUGGUAUGAGAGGAUGAUCAGUCACACUGGAACUGAGACACGAUGCCGACUCCUACGGCAGGCAGCAGUAGGGAAUAUUGCUCAAGGUGGGGAACCCUGAAGCAGCAACGCCGCGUGGAGGAUGACACUUUUCGGGGCGUUUAGUCCUUUUGAUAGGGAAGCGGUACCUAACGAAUAAGCACCGGCUAACUCCGUGCCAGCCGCCGCGGUAAUAC
rnacentral:rRNA from 1 species